CAGGCCUAACACAUGCAAGUCGAGGGGCAGCACGUUAAGGUGGCGACCGGCAGACGGUAGCGGAACACGUACGCAACAUACCCUAGUCUGGGGCAUAGCCCGAAGAAAUUCGGAUUAACACCCCAUAAGAUCAUAGCCUGGCAUCAGGGAGUGAUUAAAGAUUUAUUGGACUGGGAUUGGCGUGCGUCCUAUUAGCUAGUUGGUAGGGUAACGGCCUACCAAGGCGACGAUAGGUAGCUGGUGUGAGAGCACGACCAGCCACACGGGCACUGAGACACGGGCCCGACUCCUACGGGAGGCAGCAGUGAGGAAUAUUGGUCAAUGGGCGCAAGCCUGAACCAGCCAUGCCGCGUGAAGGAUGAAGGCGUUCUGCGUUGUAAACUUCUUUUAUGGGGGAAGAAACCUCAAUUUUCUAAUUGAACCGACGGUACCGCAGGAAUAAGCACCGGCUAACUCCGUGCCAGCAGCCGCGGUAAU
rnacentral:rRNA from 1 species